GACGAACGCUGGCGGCGUGCUUAACACAUGCCAGUCGAACGGAAAGGCCUGCUUUCCCUUGUGGAUUGCGGGUACUCGAGUGGCGAACGGGUGAGUAACACGUGAGUGAUCUGCCCCCAACUUGGGUAUAAGCCUGGGAAACUGGGUCUAAUUCCCGAUAGGACUGCAGGGUGGUGCCUGUGGUGGAAAACGAUUUUCUAGUGGUUGGGGAUGAGCUCGCGGCCUAUCAGCUUGUUGGUGGGGUAAUGGCCUACCAAGGCGGCGACGGGUAGCCGGCCUGAGAGGGUGGACGGCCACAUUGGGACUGAGAUACGGCCCAGACUCCUACGGGAGGCAGCAGUGGGGAAUAUUGCACAAUGGGCGGAAGCCUGAUGCAGCGACGCCGCGUGGGGGAUGACGGCCUUCGGGUUGUAAGCUCCUUUCGACCGCGAGGAAGCCACCUGGUUGGAAGGGUGGUGACGGUAGUGGUAGAAGAAGCACCGGCUAACUACGUG
rnacentral:rRNA from 1 species